rnacentral:rRNA from 1 species
GACGAACGCUGGCGGCGUGCUUAACACAUGCAAGUCGAAAGGAAAGGCCCUGCUUGCAGGGUACUCGAGUGGCGAACGGGUGAGUAACACGUGGGUGAUCUGCCCUGCACUUCGGGAUAAGCCUGGGAAACUGGGUCUAAUACCGGAUAGGAGCCAUUUUUAGUGUGAUGGUUGGAAAGUUUUUUCGGUGUAGGAUGAGCUCGCGGCCUAUCAGCUUGUUGGUGGGGUAAUGGCCUACCAAGGCGGCGACGGGUAGCCGGCCUGGGAGGGUGGACGGCCACAUUGGGACUGGGAUACGGCCCAGACUCCUACGGGAGGCAGCAGUGGGGAAUAUUGCACAAUGGGCGCAAGCCUGAUGCAGCGACGCCGCGUGGGGGAUGACGGCCUUCGGGUUGUAAACUCCUUUCGCUAGGGACGAAGCUUUUUGUGACGGUACCUAGAUAAGAAGCACCGGCUAACUACGUG